CCCGCUGAACUUAAGCAUAUCAAUAAGAGGAGGAAGAGAAACUAACAAGGAUUCCCCUAGUAACGGCGAGUGAAGAGGGAAAAGCUCAAAUUUAAAAUCUGGCGGUCAGGUUUGAUCGUCCGAGUUGUAAAUUAGAGAAGUGUUAUCAGCGCUGUAUCGUGCAAAAGUCUCUUGUAAAGUGAGCAUCAUAGAGGGUGACAAUCCCGUCUUUGGCACGGACUACCAGGGCAUUUGUGAUGCGCUCUCGAAGAGUCGAGUUGUUUGGGAAUGCAGCUCUAAGUGGGUGGUAAAUUCCAUCUAAAGCUAAAUAUUGGCGAGAGACAGAUAGCGCACAAGUACCGUGAGGGAAAGAUGAAAAGGACUUUGAAAAGAGAGUUAAACAGUACGUAAAAUUGUUGAAAGGGAAACGCUUGAAGUCAGUUCAUGUCCUUCAGAAAUCAACUUUGACCUUUGCGGGUCGAGUGCACUUUCUGUUGCGACGGGUCAGCAUCAAUUUUGACCGCCGGAGAAAGGCUUGGGGAAAGUGACAUCCUUCGCUGAUGUGUUAUAGCCCCUUGUACGUAUACGGUGGUCGGGAUUGAGGAACGCAGCGCAUUCAACUGGGGCAAACUGUCGCUCACACAUGCGCUUAGGAUGCUGGCUUAAUGGCUUUAAUCGACCCGUCUUGAAACACGG
rnacentral:rRNA from 1 species